AGUACCGUGAGGGAAAGGUGAAAAGAACCCCGGGAGGGGAGUGAAAUAGAACCUGAAACCCUGCACUUACAAGCUGUGGGAGCACAUUACUUGUGUGACCGCGUACUUUUUGUAGAACGGGCCAACGAGUUACGUUAAGUAGCAAGGUUAAGCACUUAAGGUGUGGAGCCGUAGCGAAAGCGAGUCUUAAAUGGGCGAUUAAGUUACUUGGCGUAGACCCGAAACCGGGCGACCUAUCCAUGAGCAGGUUGAAGCGAAAGUAAAAUUUCGUGGAGGACCGAACCCACGAGCGUUGAAAAGCUCGGGGAUGACUUGUGGAUAGCGGUGAAAUUCCAAUCGAGCCCGGAGAUAGCUGGUUCUCCCCGAAAUAGCUUUAGGGCUAGCCUCAAGCGUAGAGAAACGGAGGUAGAGCACUGAAUGUCCUAGGGGGUAUUGCACUUACCGAAGACUAUCAAACUCCGAAUGCCGUUUUCUUUUACUUGGGAGUCAGACUGUGGGUGAUAAGAUUCAUAGUCAAAAGGGCAACAGCCCAGAUCGUCAGCUAAGGUCCCUAAAUGUACGUUAAGUGGUAAAGGAUGUGGGAUUGCACAGACAACCAGGAUGUUGGCUUAGAAGCAGCCACUCAUUUAAAGAGUGCGUAAUAGCUCACUGGUCGAGUGAUCCUGCGCCGAAAAUUUCCGGGGCUAAAACGUACUACCGAAGCUACGGCAUCAUUUAUGAUGGGUAGGGGAGCUUCGUAUGCAGGCUGAAGCAUGACCGUAAGGACAUGUGGACAGUAUACGAGUGAGAAUGUUGGCAUGAGUAGCGAGACGUGGGUGAGAAUCCCACGGGCCGUAAACCCAAGGUUUCCAGGGGAAGGUUCGUCCGCCCUGGGUUAGUCGGGACCUAAGCCGAGGCCGAAAGGCGUAGGUGAUGGACAACAGGUUGAUAUUCCUGUACCGCCAAUAAGCGUUUGAGAGAUGGAGUGACACAGUAGGAUAAGCUAACCGUACUGUUGGUUAUGUACGGCUAAGCAUUGAGGCAGUCUAAAUAGGCAAAUCCGUUUAGACAAUGCUAGGAUGUGAUGGGGAAGCCCUUCGGGGCGAAGUAGCUGAUUUCACACUGUCAAGAAAAGCUUCUAUCGAGUUUAAAGGCGCCCGUACCGUAAACCGACACAGGUGGGUGAGGAGAGUAUCCUAAGGCCAGCGAGAGAACUAUUGUUAAGGAACUCGGCAAAAUGACCCCGUAACUUAGGGAGAAGGGGUGCCUGUCUAUGACAGGCCGCAGAGAAUAGGCCCAAGCGACUGUUUACCAAAAACACAGGUUUCUGCUAAGUCGCAAGACGAUGUAUAGGAGCUGACGCCUGCCCGGUGCUGGAAGGUUAAGGGGAUCUGUUAGAGCAAUCGAAGCAGUGAACUUAAGCCCCAGUAAACGGCGGCCGUAACUAUAACGGUCCUAAGGUAGCGAAAUUCCUUGUCGGGUAAGUUCCGACCCGCACGAAAGGCGUAACGAUUUGGGCACUGUCUCAACAAUAGACUCGGUGAAAUUGUAAUCCCGGUGAAGAUGCCGGGUACCUGCGACAGGACGGAAAGACCCCAUGGAGCUUUACUGUAGCUUGACGUUGGGUCUUGGUACUACAUGUACAGGAUAGGUGGGAGACUAUGAAGCAUGGACGCCAGUCUGUGUGGAGUCAUCCUUGGGAUACCACCCUUGUAGUACUGGGAUCCUAACCAUAGGCCUUGAAUCAGGUCUUGGAACACCGUCAGGUGGGCAGUUUGACUGGGGCGGUCGCCUCCUAAAAAGUAACGGAGGCGCUCAAAGGUUUCCUCAGCACGGUCGGAAAUCGUGCGAAGAGUGUAAAGGCAAAAGGAAGCUUGAUUGCAAGACAUACAGGUCGAGCAAGGACGAAAGUCGGACUUAGUGAUCCGGUGGUACCGCAUGGAAGGGCCAUCGCUCAACGGAUAAAAGCUACCCUGGGGAUAACAGGCUGAUCUCCCCCAA
rnacentral:rRNA from 1 species